UUCCGUAGGGGUAACCUGCGGAGGGAUCAUUACUGAGUACUACACUCUCUACCCUUUGUGAACUAUUAUACCUGUUGCUUCGGCGGCGCCCGCGAGGGUGCCCGCCGGUCUCAUCAGAAUCUCUGUUUUCGAACCCGACGAUACUUCUGAGUGUUCUUAGCGAACUGUCAAAACUUUUAACAACGGAUCUCUUGGCUCCAGCAUCGAUGAAGAACGCAGCGAAACGCGAUAUGUAAUGUGAAUUGCAGAAUUCAGUGAAUCAUCGAAUCUUUGAACGCACAUGGCGCCUUCCAGUAUCCUGGGAGGCAUGCCUGUCCGAGCGUCGUUUCAACCCUCGAGCCCCCGUGGCCCGGCGUUGGGGAUCUGCCACGGCAGGCCCCUAAAACCAGUGGCGGACCCGAAGGCCCUCUCCUUUGCGCAGUAGCAUCAGCCUCGCAUUGGGAUCCCUCGGCGUCCUGCCUCUAAACCCCCCACAAGUCCGCUCCGGCGGCACCAAGGUGACCUCGGAUCAGGUAGAUACCCAUUUU
rnacentral:rRNA from 1 species